AAGGCUGAGGCGUGAUGACGAGGCACUACGGUGCUGAAGCAACAAAUGCCCUGCUUCCAGGAAAAGCCUCUAAGCAUCAGGUAACAUCAAAUCGUACCCCAAACCGACACAGGUGGUCAGGUAGAGAAUACCAAGGCGCUUGAGAGAACUCGGGUGAAGGAACUAGGCAAAAUGGUGCCGUAACUUCGGGAGAAGGCACGCUGAUAUGUAGGUGAAGUCCCUCGCGGAUGGAGCUGAAAUCAGUCGAAGAUACCAGCUGGCUGCAACUGUUUAUUAAAAACACAGCACUGUGCAAACACGAAAGUGGACGUAUACGGUGUGACGCCUGCCCGGUGCCGGAAGGUUAAUUGAUGGGGUUAGCGCAAGCGAAGCUCUUGAUCGAAGCCCCGGUAAACGGCGGCCGUAACUAUAACGGUCCUAAGGUAGCGAAAUUCCUUGUCGGGUAAGUUCCGACCUGCACGAAUGGCGUAAUGAUGGCCAGGCUGUCUCCACCCGAGACUCAGUGAAAUUGAACUCGCUGUGAAGAUGCAGUGUACCCGCGGCAAGACGGAAAGACCCCGUGAACCUUUACUAUAGCUUGACACUGAACAUUGAGCCUUGAUGUGUAGGAUAGGUGGGAGGCUUUGAAGUGUGGACGCCAGUCUGCAUGGAGCCGACCUUGAAAUACCACCCUUUAAUGUUUGAUGUUCUAACGUUGACCCGUAAUCCGGGUUGCGGACAGUGUCUGGUGGGUAGUUUGACUGGGGCGGUCUCCUCCUAAAGAGUAACGGAGGAGCACGAAGGUUGGCUAAUCCUGGUCGGACAUCAGGAGGUUAGUGCAAUGGCAUAAGCCAGCUUGACUGCGAGCGUGACGGCGCGAGCAGGUGCGAAAGCAGGUCAUAGUGAUCCGGUGGUUCUGAAUGGAAGGGCCAUCGCUCAACGGAUAAAAGGUACUCCGGGGAUAACAGGCUGAUACCGCCCAAGAGUUCAUAUCGACGGCGGUGUUUGGCACCUCGAUGUCGGCUCAUCACAUCCUGGGGCUGAAGUAGGUCCCAAGGGUAUGGCUGUUCGCCAUUUAAAGUGGUACGCGAGCUGGGUUUAGAACGUCGUGAGACAGUUCGGUCCCUAUCUGCCGUGGGCGCUGGAGAACUGAGGGGGGCUGCUCCUAGUACGAGAGGACCGGAGUGGACGCAUCACUGGUGUUCGGGUUGUCAUGCCAAUGGCACUGCCCGGUAGCUAAAUGCGGAAGAGAUAAGUGCUGAAAGCAUCUAAGCACGAAACUUGCCCCGAGAUGAGUUCUCCCUGACUCCUUGAGAGUCCUGAAGGAACGUUGAAGACGACGACGUUGAUAGGCCGGGUGUGUAAGCGCAGCGAUGCGUUGAGCUAACCGGUACUAAUGAACCGUGAGGCUUAACCUUACAACGCCGAAG
rnacentral:rRNA from 1 species